UAUAAACUGUCUGACUCCACCCACUACACCCUAGCAACCGCCUAGCUCAGCACUCAUGCUCAUCAUAACAUACAAACUUGUAUUUUGAUACUGAAUUGGUGGCACGUUGGGUUAAAGGCGUCGCUGUGCCUUUAAGAGCAUGCUGAGCCGCAUCACUUAUGCUGGAGCAUCUAAUGAUGCUUUAAGCACAAUGUCUAAUUGAGUUACAUGCUGAUGCACCAGCCCACCUCAUCCACAGCAACGUCUCGAGGCAGAACAGCCUGCUGGGAGCGUCACAUUUCAGGGGAAGCCAAAUAAACAAGAACAGGAGCAGUCCAGCCUCUCCUGUGGAACUCCUGCUGGCUGUGCGCAGGGCUCGGCUCGCUCUUCUGCAGUGAUGAGGGGUACGACAGCAAGCGCCUACAACAGGUCUGACAGAAUGAGGCCAAAAUGAAGGCGUCCAUCUGUCCGCGCUGAUCGCCACCCUUCGGACACAUGCAGGAUGACGGGGCUCGUCUGGGAACAUGUGUAGCGUUCACUAUAACCACAGCCUAGCUGCCAUGAGCGGGAGUGACAUCAUGGCCUAUUCUCUGAGUCUGGAGCAGAAGACGGCGUUUGCGUUCGUGGGGAUGUUGCUGGUGUUUCUCGGCCUGUUGAUCGUCAGGUGUUUCCGGAUCCUGCUGGACCCUUACAGUAGCAUGCCAUCCUCCAGCUGGGGCGACGGCCUGGAGGGCCUUGAAAAAGGGACAUUUGAAUACGCUCUAACCUGAGACCACGUUCCCAAAGACGCCAAACCCCCCGUCCAUGGCUUCAUACUAGAGCCCCCUGAAUCAUAUAAAGCCUUUGCACCAUAUGGGGGCAUGCACACAGGAUGCAUUCCAGAUGCAUAACGUUGGGCAAAACUUGGAGCUUGAUACACCUUCCUUGAAAUAGGUAAUGUUUGGUGAUGCAAUGGCCAAAGAUGUCUAUUUGAUGCAUGCACAUACUGACAGGGUUGCAAAGGGGUGGAACAUUUCAGAGACUUUCCAGAAAUUUUGGAAGCUUUCCGGGAUUUUUUGGAAACCGUUGGGAAUUUUCAGAAACUUUUGGAAUGUUUCCAGAAAUUUUCCACCCCUUUGCAACCCUAUACACUGAUCAACGACAUACUGUAGCAGCAACGGAUCACAAGAAUGAGUCCUGUGUGAACGCCCCUAAAGGGUGCGAGAAUUCAUCCAAACGACACACACUGUGACGCAUGCCCUGCUGUUACGACAUCAUACUAAGAAAGACAUAGAUUUUUGGAAUAUGAUGUCACACCAUUUAGCCACUGGGCAUCUCAGGGAAGAGCAGAGAAAGACUUGAAUUAAAGGAGACAAGAUGGCACACGUGCAAGACAAUGCCGGGAUGUAAACAGGGUAAUCUGGCCCUUUCAUUCAUGAUGUCCGUCUAGCUUCCACCCCGUUUAGUGAUGAAGUACGAGGACUGCAUGCUUACAAUGCGCCACGCAAACAUUCACAUACUUGAGUACGUUUCCGGCCUAGCUCUCCUGUUUACCGUCGUCUGGGAUCUCGAGGCCAAUCGAGCUAAAAUAACCUGCUGUUUUUGAGAAGUAUUAAGCUGUGAAGUCUUAACAUCUCUGUAGACCUGUGUCUGCUUUUCUAGCAAACAUUAGCAAUCCGUUUCUCUUCACUUACUGCCUAUGAACACAUCUGCACACAAGCCGCAGAGACUCUGCAGGACGCUGAGAGUGAAGAUUCUUCUGAAAUUGUGACACAUCCUGCCACCUCCGUGUUUGUUUGUUUGUUUGUGUGUGUGACAGAGGAAGGGUGUGUCACUAUGACAACAGCAGAAAAACGCGAGCUGGAUGCGAGUGAUGCACCAAUGAAAGCGUAGCUCAUCUCCAGUGUUCUAGUGCUGUGAAUCUGCCUUACUGGAUUUCUGUGCCUUCAUUUAGCAACGGUAGCGUAUCUCUCACAGGAUGAUCUGUGUUUGUGUGCAUCCGUGUGUGUGUGUGUGUGUGUGUGUGUGUGUGUGUGGGUUCAUGUGAUGAUGAAGACCACUGUUCUUUGUGUUUCUCUGAUGCUGAGGAGGGCACAACGUCCCUCGCUGCGAUGGUCUGUGUUCAUCUGCUGGAAUAAAAC
ensembl:lncRNA